GUCCUGGUCUAACGGUAGGCCGCACUGCAUUGUAAAGAGUUGACAGAAAAGUUUCAAGUGCGGUCGGUGGUUCGACUCCACCCUAGGACA